AACUUCCAUAUACCUCAGGUGUGACCCUAAAAAGCCAAAAAAAUACAAAAAUUUAAAAAAAUAAUUGGGUGGGAUAAAGGGCCGGAAAUCUAGGGUGUUCCUGAUGUUAUGUCUUUCCAGUAAAGUAUGAGGUAAAAUUGUGGAGAAUUAAGGCUGCAUACAUGGAGGAAGGGAGAGGAAACUGAGUAAAGCUAUGGCUUGGAGAUAGAUAUUUUGAUAAGUAAAAGAAAGAAUGAACCUGCUAAAUUGUUGUCAAGUUCUUUGAAAAUGUUCUAAUAUCCUGAUAGAAGUUUUCAAACUAAUAUCCACAAUUUCAUUGAUUUUAAGGGAAUAUUCUGACCUAGAAUUUUUAUUCAUUUCAGUUUUAGGAUCAAUAGUACAGACUGCUUGUUGAAAAUAGUUGCUAUGAGUAAUGUGGUGUUGAACAUGAUAAAGUUCCUCAAACUGCUAGAUUCUAUCAAGUUUUGUGCCCUAAGGCUAAGGGCCAAAACCUUAAAUUAUUUUCAGAAUUUGAUCAGCAUCAGUAUAGGGCAGGAAGUACUGAUGUGAUGUGACCUCGGUGUUCUUGUCCUUUUAAAGAACUGUAAUUGCCACAGAAACUUCUGCUUGUAGUAGAAUUGGAAGUACAUACAGUGAUCUGAACUAGAGGGAAUGGUAAAUGCUGCAGUAAAAAACUGAAAUUAUAGUGGGAGUUAACAACGGACACUUUAAAUCAGAGAUUAAAUAUGGCACAUUUUUUUAAAAAUUAAGCAUUCUUUCUAUGUAGGAAUUGAGAAGAAAUUAAUCUUUGAAAGGCCCAAGAAUCUGCGUCACCUUGACCAUCUGUGUGCUGCUUCCUUCAAUCAAGGCCACAGAUUUAUAAACAUGGAGCAGAGAAAAUCAGAGGGCAGUGCCUGGGAUAGAGUAGGAAGAAACUCAAUAAUUACAGGUCCUGGACUUUAAUUUUCCAUGUAUAAGAAUUUGUAUAUAAGGUUUCUCACUGAUAAGGAAAAUGACUGGAAGACAUACUGAUCUAAAGACUGAAUGACAUUUCUUCAGUCAUUCUUUUGAUUAUAUUCACUUAAUCUACAUUCUCUUGCCAUUUUAGUUUUCAAUGGGAGAAAACACUGACUUUGUGAAAGGUGGGAUGAAAUAUGAAGGUUUAUGUUAAUCUCAGUGUUAAUUGUUGGUGAUUCCUAUUUCUCUUUUAUGCCAGCUGUAUGAAAUUUCCUUGUUUGCCAAUAAAAAUCUAACUCAGA